GUGCACUCUUAGAUAGCACAUAUACUAAAAUUUGAAUGAUACAGGGAAGAUUAGCAUGGCACCUGCACAAGAAUAGCAUGCAAAUUUGUGAAGUGUUCCAUAUUUUU